AAACGAAGGGUGUAGAACUGGAGGAAGGCUUCCCGGUGAAGCUUAUAUUCAAGCUGCACCUCGAAGGGCUGAUGAUAUUAAGAAGAAAGUGUAUUCUAGAAGCUGAAAAGUACCCAAAUGACAGAGAGGCAGUAUCAAUGUGUGAGCCACAUCAGAUAUGAGACCACAGGAAUGGUGGGGCCUGGAGGGCUUAUGGUUCCUCAGAUGGCAUUCAGAACGGCAGCUAAAGUCCUCACGGUGGAGAGGGGCUGAAAGGAGGCGGCCACUUGGAGUCAGCUCCAGGCUGCCAGUCCUUGGCCUGGCUGUGAAGAAGCUGCCCUCUAUGCUGUAAGCAACAAGAUACGACACUUGGAUCCACGCUCGUCCGGGCUCCAGACGUUCUGCUAGCCCCAAACACCUGAUGGCCACCAGGAGCGCCGUUUGCUGCCUGUUUGCGGCCUCUGGCUUUCUCUUUUGGAAUACGGGGCAAGAAGAAAACAGGGAGUGACUGGAACAAGUCCAAUUCACUUACAAAGGCGCUCGGGCUCCUAAUGCUAACGGGAUGGGGUUUCCAAACGCCCCCGAGGGAGUUGCCAGGAUCCAGGAUUUUCUUCAAGUUCUUGGAAAUUCUUCGCCGUCCCCGUGGCAUCGCAGCUUCCAACCGCAAGCCUGCCCAGGCCUGGCUGGGCCGGGGCCCCGGCCACGAGAGGGUUAAGGCGCCGCCAAGAUGGCCGCCUUGUUUUGCACUUCGGAGGGGGUCACGCGGGAGGCUGCCCUUUGCCUCUGGGGAGGCGGUCAAAGCCCUGCCCCUGGCGCUCUGCCCUCGGCGGCUUGACGGCAUCUCCUCCCCUGCGCGUCCUGCACUCCGGGACCUCCGAACCUUCCAGGCCCCAGGCGAGCCAAACUCCCAGCCUUCCAGGCAGGAGACCGGGCCUUGGAGGAGCGAGGCAGGGAGGCCCCCUCGGACAUACCGGGCCGCGGAUGCGCGCCGGCGGGGUCCCUUCGGCCUCUAAGAACGUCUGGGGCCCGUGGGCCGAGGCCGCAGCCUGGGCCGCGAUCCCUUUCUAUUUUCUUGUCUCCUGGCUGAAGCCGCCCCAGCUGUCUCCCGGGUCCAGGAUACAGCCGUUUCUCCGUGAGCAUUUUUAAGUACCUACUGUGCGUCUGCUCUGGAGUCACUACAGUGACGUGUGAGGUGUGCUACAAAGGGUGAGGCCUGCCCCCAGACUGUCCUGCAGGGCAGGUUGAUCUGAAGGCGAACAGUGAUAGCUACCACUUAUCAAGCACUUGUUCCACGUGACGCCCCACGCCAAGGGCUUCUCAGGAAUUACGUGAGGUCAUGCGUGAAGCACUGGCCCGCUGCCGCCAAGGAGUGAGGUUGGAUAAUGGGAGCCUUGGUGUUGUCAUUUCACAAUCGCCCCCAGUACUUGGCACAGACAUUUAUUAAGCACCUACUCUGUGCCAGGCCCUGGGUGCUGGAAAUACCAUCAUGGACAAACCAGAUCGAGUAUCUCCCCGCUGUGAACUUGCAUUCUGAGUGGAAGAUAGACAAUAAACACAAGCACCAAGAUAUUCCUAA